rnacentral:sRNA from 1 species
CCUGGCCCCGGAGGCUUGUCUGGAUUGCGCCGCAUUCCCGCUCAUCGCACACUGCUGUUUCUAACUAACAUCUUCCGUGGCUUUCUAGAUGACCUAUUGUUCAUGCACUUCACUUAGUGCUGUCUUGGACUUUUGGGCCGAGGUUUGCUGGUUGGCUCCUGAGCAGACAGCAGGAAAGAAGAAGCCCUUCGUGUACACCCAGGGCCAGGCUGUCCUAAACCGGGCCUUCUUCCCUUGCUUCGACACGCCUGCUGUUAAAUACAAGUAUUCAGCUCUUAUUGAGGAGCCGGGUGUGGGCUGAGCCCUGCCUGAUUGGUGCUGCCAAGGAGGAGUACAACGGGGUGAUAGAAGAAUUUUUGGCAACAGGAGAGAAGCUUUUUGGACCUUAUGUUUGGGGAAGGUGUGGUAUCACAUUGACUCCAGUGUCUCCUGUUAAACUGAGUCACUGGCUUCCAUUCUUCCUCUUCGUGUGGCUUUUCCACCUCCUGCCUCCCAGAGCAAAGUUUCCCUGAUCCCAGAAGUGAAGGAGAGGAGGAGGAGAGGAGGGUAUGACUUGCUCUUCAUGCCACCGUCCUUUCCAUUUGGAGGAAUGGAGAACCCUUGUCUGACCUUUGUCACCCCCUGCCUGCUAGCUGGGGACCGCUCCUUGGCAGAUGUCAUCAUCCAUGAGAUCUCCCACAGUUGGUUUGGGAACCUGGUCACCAACGCCAACUGGGGUGAAUUCUGGCUCAAUGAAGGUUUCACCAUGUACGCCCAGAGAAGGAUCUCCACCAUCCUCUUUGGCGCUGCGUACACCUGCUUGGAGGCUGCAACGGGGCGGGCUCUG